rnacentral:misc_RNA from 1 species
CAGAUAUCAGAAAUUCGCGUACAAAACCAAUUAUCAUCAGAUAACACAUAACAGAUCGAUCAUUUGGAAGAUCAUAUCAGACCCAAUUAUUAACUGCUAACAGAUCGAUCAUUUCAUGACCAUGUCCAAACCUAGUCUUGCUUGAUAGCAGCAGCAGCAGACUUAUCCCCACCGUCCUUUAGAAUUUCAUGAACCACCUCCACCGGCUUCUCCACCGCCUGCUGCCCCUCUCCCGCCGGAGACCGGUAGUCGACCGUCUCCACCACCUUCGUCUCCACCACUGCUUCCGGAUUCGUAGUCGCCUUAGCAGAAGAAUCCUUGGUUGUAGACAUCUUGAGAGACUGUAGGGCUGGAGCUGUG